rnacentral:lncRNA from 1 species
CAUAAUAUUCCUAUUCCUGAUUUUGAAAUAAAUACGUUAGAAAUAUAGAGACUUGCAAAUUUCUUCCACUCAGGAGGAUAAUAAGAGGGUAAAGAAGAUAGAUUACAAUCACACAUAUUAUACAGAAGUCAUAGAGGUUACCGACUUUUGGUGGUGUACAAAUGUCGAUGACUUGAAUAAAAUCUAACCUACUGUCUACAGCAAAGAGAAGAAGGUAAGAAGGAGGAAGAGUAUGAAAAGAGAUAGAAGAGAUAUGAAGAGAGAAACUAUGCUUGCUUGAAGAAGCUUGGCUUGAAGAAGCUUGGUCUUUCCUUGAAUGCAGUCAAGCUGUAAUCCUAGGAGUCCCCUUUCUUACUCUGUUAUAUCAUGUCACAGUUUCUCAUACUGGUCUUGAAACAAAUACACAUGGUACACCUAUUAGGUUUGAAUUUCUUGAUAAACAAAAAAUUAAAGAAAUCAAUACUGUUAAACAGAAUAUGAAAUACAAAGAAAAUUUCUUAGGAUCUUUGCAACUUGAAAUCAAACAUAAGCUCACCAGGGAAAAGCUCCAAUCUCCUGAGAUAAUACAAAAAAU